rnacentral:misc_RNA from 1 species
GAUGAAGAACGCAGCGAAAUGCGAUAAUUAAUGUGAAUUGCAGAAUUCCGUGAAUCAUCGAGUCUUUGAACGCACAUUGCGCCUCAUGGCAUUCCGUGAGGCAUGCCCAUCUCAGCGUUAGAAAAUAUUCUCAAAUUUUAGUUUUGUGCUAAAAUUUGGAUCAUGUCAAGGAAGCUAUUACUAUUAUUGUGAUCGCUCUUUGGAAAUUGAUAGGUCUUUGAGUUGCUACUCAUAGAACGUGAUGAAUCUUUCUUCGUUCUAUUGUAAUUCACUCUGGUAGUCCUAAAACUUGUAUGCCUGUGGCAUAUCUUGUAAUUUGACCUGAGAUUGGGUAGGGAUACCCGCUGUACUUAAACAUAUCAAUAAGCGGAGGA